rnacentral:ncRNA from 1 species
GUCUUUGGGGCAGGGUGUGAUUCCCUACCGGCGGUAUAGCCCGCGAGCCUGAGGCAGUGAAUGGGGCGGCAGCUUCGGUUGCCGUGCAUGAGCUGGGGAGGGCAGGAUUCGGUGAGAUUCCGGAGCCGACAGUAUAGUCUGGAUGAGAAAAGAC